UGGUGGUGUACAGCAGAUUGAGAGAGGGAGAGAAGGAGAGGAAAUUGAUGUUGGCUGAGAGACACAGCAUGGACCAAGGAAAGCAGGAAGCUGGUAGUGUAGAUUCCUGAGAUCGGGAGGGGUCACUGGCGAAUGAGCACAGAGAAACGUAAUGACGGGACUGAAAAACGAGAUGCUAAUAAAAGAUUUGGCAGGAGGCCUUAAUGCACUGAGUCAGAAUAUACUAUCUGUCUCUCUUUCUGUCUCCCUCAUUCUGCUUCCCAGCUGGGAUGCAGAGUGAG